ACGCUGAUGGACGAUACGUGUGACGGACUACGAAUCCGUAGGUCGGGGGUUCAAAUCCCUCCCGGCGCG
rnacentral:tRNA from 1 species